UGGGAUGCCUGGUGGUAGAGUAGGGA
rnacentral:piRNA from 1 species